rnacentral:lncRNA from 1 species
GCGCAUUUCGACAACACAUGUCUCUUCAGUAGUAAGUGUCUCUUUAGUUAUACUGAAGGCAAUUUUAAAGUCCUAUACUUAAUACAAAUGUUGAAGAGCUAGUAAAACAAACAAAAACUUAAAGAAUAGCCAAACAUGGACAAGGAAUCUAAGAUAUGAAAAGUUCAUCUCUUAUAUAAAUUCCAAACUUCAACUAAACUAGAUUUAAUAAGAAAUAAACUAUAUUUUUUUUUCUAAACUAGUGUUGUAAUUGAAGCCAUUAAACGGCAUGUCUGCUUUUUCUUCUGUGAUGUCCUCUUUAUCUAUUCUAUUGCUUUUUAAUAUGCUUAUUCAAGGUUUUAAUUUUCAAAUAGGCCACAUAUUUUUAAGCUUGGAUUAUGAUUCCUUUUUUCAAACUGAGCAUUUGGGAAAAAAAGUUUUCCACUAUUGCAACAAUAUUUGUAGGCAGGUGCCCUUUCCUUGUAAUGUGCAAUCAUUUUUUUUGGAGAAAAAAUAC